rnacentral:rRNA from 1 species
GAUGAACGCUAGCGGGAGGCCUAACACAUGCAAGCCGAGCGGUAUUUGUUCUUCGGAACAGAGAGAGCGGCGCACGGGUGCGGAACACGUGUGCAACCUGCCUUUAUCUGGGGGAUAGCCUUUCGAAAGGAAGAUUAAUACCCCAUAAUAUAUUGAGUGGCAUCAUUUGAUAUUGAAAACUCCGGUGGAUAGAGAUGGGCACGCGCAAGAUUAGAUAGUUGGUGAGGUAACGGCUCACCAAGCCAAUGAUCUUUAGGGGGCCUGAGAGGGUGAUCCCCCACACUGGUACUGAGACACGGACCAGACUCCUACGGGAGGCAGCAGUGAGGAAUAUUGGACAAUGGGUUAGCGCCUGAUCCAGCCAUCCCGCGUGAAGGACGACGGCCCUAUGGGUUGUAAACUUCUUUUGUAUAGGGAUAAACCUACUCUCGUGAGAGUAGCUGAAGGUACUAUACGAAUAAGCACCGGCUAACUCCGUG